rnacentral:rRNA from 1 species
GACGAACUGUCCUAACGUUGUUCGGAAUCACUGGGCUUAAAGGGUGCGUAGGCGGCGCUGCAAGUGCCUUGUGAAAUCCCAUCGCUUAACGAUGGAACUGCUCGGUAGACUGCAGUGCUUGAGGUUGGUAGGGGCUGCCGGAACUCUAGGUGGAGCGGUGAAAUGCGUAGAUAUCUAGAGGAACGCCCAAGGCGAAGGCAGGCAGCUGGGCCAAUUCUGACGCUGAGGCACGAAAGCGUGGGGAGCAAACGGG